GACGAACGCUGGCGGCGUGCUUAACACAUGCAAGUCGAACGGAAAGGCCCUGCUUUUGUGGGGUGCUCGAGUGGCGAACGGGUGAGUAACACGUGAGUAACCUGCCCUUGACUUUGGGAUAACUUCAGGAAACUGGGGCUAAUACCGGAUAGGAGCUCCUGCUGCAUGGUGGGGGUUGGAAAGUUUCGGCGGUUGGGGAUGGACUCGCGGCUUAUCAGCUUGUUGGUGGGGUAGUGGCUUACCAAGGCUUUGACGGGUAGCCGGCCUGAGAGGGUGACCGGCCACAUUGGGACUGAGAUACGACCCAGACUACUACGGGAGGCAGCGGUGGGGAAUAUUGCACAAUGGGCGGAAGCCUGAUGCAGCAACGCCGCGUGCGGGAUGACGGCCUUCGGGUUGUGAACCGCAUUCGCCUGUGACGAAGCGUGAGUGACGGUAAUGGGUAAAGAAGCACCGGCUAACUACGUG
rnacentral:rRNA from 1 species